rnacentral:tRNA from 2 species
CUGUCGAUUGCUCGACUGGUAGAGCGGUAGACUGCAGAGAAAACGAUGGCCGUCACUCAGGUCGCUGGUUCGAAUCCGGCUCGACGGG